AUUGAACGCUGGCGGAAUGCUUUACACAUGCAAGUCGAACGGCAGCACGGGGCAACCUGGUGGCGAGUGGCGAACGGGUGAGUAAUACAUCGGAACGUGCCCAGUCGUGGGGGAUAACGUAGCGAAAGUUACGCUAAUACCGCAUACGAUCUAUGGAUGAAAGCGGGGGAUCGCAAGACCUCGCGCGAUUGGAGCGGCCGAUGUCAGAUUAGGUAGUUGGUGGGGUAAAGGCCUACCAAGCCGACGAUCUGUAGCUGGUCUGAGAGGACGACCAGCCACACUGGGACUGAGACACGGCCCAGACUCCUACGGGAGGCAGCAGUGGGGAAUAUUGGGCAAUGGGGGAAACCCUGACCCAGCCAUGCCGCGUGAGUGAAGAAGGCCUCGGUUGUAAAGACUCUUUCGGUCAGGAACGAAACGGACGAGCUCUAACAUAGACUCGCUAAUGACGGUACC
rnacentral:rRNA from 1 species